rnacentral:rRNA from 1 species
GAAUGUUGACCUCGAAUCAGGUAGGAAUACCCGCUGAACUUAAGCAUAUCAAAGACCCAGAAAAAA